GAAUUACUGGGCGUAAAGAGUUGCGUAGGUGGCAAAGUAAGCGAAUAGUAAAAUCACAUAGCUCAACUAUGUAUAUAUUACUUGAACUGCUUAGCUAGAGGAUGAGAGAGGUUAUUGGAAUUCUCAGUGUAGGAGUGAAAUCCGUAGAUAUUGAGAGGAACACCGAUGGCGUAAGCAGAUAACUGGCUCAUUCCUGACACUAAGGCACGAAAGCGUGGGGAGCAAACGGGAUUAGAUACCCCGGUAGUCCACGCCGUAAACUAUGAAUGCUAGCUGUUAGAGGUAUCGACCCCUCGAGUAGCGAAGCUAACGCGUUAAGCAUUCCGCCUGUGGAGUACGGUCGCAAGACUAAAACAUAAAGGAAUUGACGGGGACCCGCACAAGCGGUGGGGCGUGUUGUUUAAUUCGAUGAUAAGCGAAGAACCUUACCCAGGCUUGACAUCCUGCGAAUUUUUUCGAAAGAAAAAAGUGCUUUAUUGAGCGCAGUGACAGGUGUUGCAUGGCCGUCGUCAGCUCGUGUCGUGAGAUGUUUGGUUAAGUCCAUCAACGAGCGCAACCCUUAUAUCUAGUUGAAUUUUUCUAGCUAGACUGCCCUGGUAACAGGGAGGAAGGAGGGGUCGAAGUCAGGUCAGUAUUACCCUUACGUCUGGGGCUACAAACACGCUACAAUGGCCAGUACAAAGGGCAGCCAAGUCGCGAGACGGAGCUAAUCCCAUCAAAACUGGUCCUAGUUCGGAUUGCAGGCUGAAACCCGCCUGCAUGAAGCUGGAAUCGCUAGUAAUGGUAGGUCAGCAC
rnacentral:rRNA from 1 species